GCGGCCCGGAUAUCUCUGCGCGGCAGCCCCCGCGGUCGAUCAAUCUCAGUCCCGCACUGCCGUCCCGCCCCGCCCUGUGCCCGCCAAUCCACGACGCCAUAAUCCCCCGCCGUGUCCCUCCCUUCCUCCCCAUUGGUUGUGACCGCACGUCAGCCCGACUCAGCCUGCCAAUCGCAGGACCCAGAGGGCCCUCUCCCCCGCCCGCUCAGUGUAAUUCGAGUUCCCUGUCCAUCGACUCCAAGUCCUCUCUCCUGCGCCGCAUGCUGCCUCGCGCUCCCUUUCCUUCCCCCUCUACCCCCUUCCGCGAUUUACUGUUUCCUCGCGCCCAACAGAAAUGGGCGACCGCAAGUCUUACUCUCGCCGGCGUUACAAAGAUUAUUUAAAUUUUCCACAAAUUUCUACGGAUUAAUUCAAUGGCAGCUCACUUUCUCCUUUUAUGAUCGGAUGGGUCCGAAAGUGAGGAAAAAGACAAUUGUCUACAAAGAAAGAGGCUGCCAAGUGGAGACAGAAAAGCAGUUAUGAGACUGAUGAUAGAUUCCAAUUUGUUAUCGAAAGGAAGGAGGAGACCUGAACAGUACAUCCGGAGAAUCCAGCAAAGCAUACUACGGCAUGAACGUGCAAGUGGACAGAAUUAAAACACAUGCCAGAAACACUAAUGGAUUCUAAACAAGAUGCAGUUUCAUUUCCUGAGCCUAUACGUGAUGUUUUUAACUGUUCUCCAGUUAAUAUGUCUCCAUUUCCAGAAAUCUAACAGGAGAAUCUCUGACUGCUUAACAGAUCACCUAAGCUUGCGAUUUGUGCAAUCCUUUCUAGAGUAAGGGCUCCCCGGCUGCUCCCCGGCCACUGUGUACCCAAAGCAGCGGCUGAAAUAGCCCGGAGUCCAACAGCUCAGCGUCAAGCAGCUCGUGGCAAACGCAGCCGCCGGUCUUGACUGCCAUCGCCCAAGGGGUUCCUCUGGGCUCUCCCGCGAGCCAACAGCCGACCUCUCUCCAGCCUAGUCUGGGAAACUCCAGCCAACCCAGGAUCCCAUUUUGUAGUCCCGGGCAGACCCGAAACCCCUGAAAGAACUCCACUCCAGAAGACGCCAGAACAAGUUCCCACGAAUUUCAUGGGCGCCCUUCACAUGAAAACCUCAGCUCCCCUAUCCUCAAGGAACGGGGAAGGGCGCCGGGGAGGGACUUCGGUGGCCAGCUGUCCCUGGGUCGUGGGCGCUGUUUGCUCUGCGGAGCGCCAGCCCUGCACACAGCGGGUGCGGGAAGCGUUGAUGGGAGGCUGGAGGGCGGGGUGAGCGUAAACUAGGAUCUAGCCGGUUCCAGGCGUGGAGAAUCAAAUGUGGUCCUAGAUCUGUAAGUUGCGAAAAGGGGCUUUUGGGAGCGUCAGAGCUUUCUCACUCCGGUCCCCCGCCGCCUUGAGGCUGGCAGAUUUAUACCCCACAGGUGGAUGGAGACCUAAACAAAACAGUCCCGGCCGCUGCCUGCCGCUCGCCCCCCACGUCCCCCGGGCCCACCGCAAACUUCAACAAAAUAAACAACUCACCACAGGCAUUCCCUUGUCUGCAGCGCGACGCUUGCCAGCUGGGAAAAUAAGCCGCAAGCCACGCGGCCGAGGC
rnacentral:lncRNA from 1 species